UGCCACAUUGUUCUGUGGCUACGAUCCCAUUGGACAGCGGAAAGGUUAAGCCAGUCAGGUUGCGCCAGCGGAGUUGUGUCAACUGAGAGGAGAUUCUUAAGAUGCCGGAAUGUAACCUGCUGCAACAGCUGGAAUCAAUUAUCCAGUCAAACAGUUGCCCUGCUUCAAUGCAAACAAAUUCGACGCCAACUUCACAAAGAAGGACCGCCAAGAAUGCAACAAUAUCAUAUUCAGGAGGAAUCGAACAGUCUUCCCCUUGUACUUUAAAGCAGGAAAUGUCACGCUGACACCGUUGGAGGUGUUCACACUUAAAACGAGUCAAGAUGGCAGCGUUCAGGUUGCAGUGCUGACUUAUUUCCUACCACCAUGAUCAAGAGUUGGAGUGAAAUGACAGGGCUCCCUGCGAGAAGACUUUUCAUCAGGAUUUUCAAGACGAACACACCCACAAGUCUCAUUUUUCACAAGAUUCCUUUGCAGUGACAUUGCUGUUCAAUGCAGUUAUAUUCUUUUUUUUUUUUUUUUAACAGAAACUGUACAACUCGUGAGAAAUGCAAAGGGCAUGCGGAGAGCUCCGUUUGCACAUCUUAAAUGGCAAUAAAAUAAAUGCAAUGAGGACUACAUUACUGGUGAAUAAAUCACAUGGCCUAGCAUAUAAUGUCAUACUAAUCCCCUGACACCAUGCAAAUAGGCCCCUGAUAAGAUAUUACAUGAGAGCAAUCUGA